rnacentral:rRNA from 1 species
UACAGAGGUCCCGAGCGUUGUUCGGAUUCAUUGGGCGUAAAGGGUGCGCAGGUGGCGGGGUAAGUCUGAUGUGAAAUCCCGGGGCUCAACUCCGGAACUGCAUUGGAUACUGCUCUGCUUGAGUACUGGAGAGGAGACUGGAAUUUACGGUGUAGCAGUGAAAUGCGUAGAGAUCGUAAGGAAGACCAGUGGCGAAGGCGAGUCUCUGGACAGUUACUGACACUGAGGCACGAAAGCUAGGGGAGCAAACAGG